CCUACGGGUGGCAGCAGUAGGGAAUAUUGCUCAAUGGGGGAAACCCUGAAGCAGCAACGCCGCGUGGAGGAUGAAUGUUUUCGGAUUGUAAACUCCUUUUGUUAGAGAAGAUAAUGACGGUAUCUAACGAAUAAGCACCGGUUAACUCCGUGCCAGCAGCCGCCGUAAUACGGAGGGUGGAAGCGUUACUCGGAAUACCUGGAGGUAUAGAGGGCCUAGGCGGGAUAGAAAGUCAGAUGUGAAAUCCUAUGAGUUAACCCUAGAACUGCCUUUGAAACUGUCAUUCUAGAGUAGGGGAGAGGUAGGUGGAAUUCGUGGUGUAGGGGUAAAAUCCGUAGAGAUCAAGAGGAAUACUCAUUGCGAAGGCGACCUGCUAGAACAUAACUGACGCUGAUGCGCGAAAGCGUGGGGAGCAAACAGGAUUAGAUACCCCUGUAGUC
rnacentral:rRNA from 1 species